UGCGUAGGCGGCUAGGCAAGUCAGACGUGAAAACCAUGGGCUCAACCUGUGGACUGCGUUUGAAACUGUUUAGCUUGAGUGAAGUAGAGGUAGGCGGAAUUCCCGGUGUAGCGGUGAAAUGCGUAGAGAUCGGGAGGAACACCAGUGGCGAAGGCGGCCUACUGGGCUUUAACUGACGCUGAGGCACGAAAGCAUGGAUAGCAAACA
rnacentral:rRNA from 1 species